rnacentral:rRNA from 1 species
UACGGGAUAAUAUAUUUGAGAGGCAUCUCUUGAAUAUCAAAGGUGAGCCAGUACAGGAUGGACCCGCGUCUGAUUAGCUAGUGGGUAAGGUAACGGCUUACCAAGGCGACGAUCAGUAGCCGACCUGGGAGGGUGAUCGGCCACAUUGGAACUGAGACACGGUCCAAACUCCUACGGGAGGCAGCAGUGGGGAAUAUUGCACAAUGGGCGAAAGCCUGAUGCAGCAACGCCGCGUGAGUGAUGAAGGCCUUCGGG